rnacentral:tRNA from 1 species
GCACUCUGGACUCUGAAUCCAGCGAUCUGAGUUCAAGUCUCAGUGGGACCU